rnacentral:rRNA from 1 species
AUUGAACGCUGGCGGCAGGCUUAGCACAUGCAAGUCGAGCGGAGAGAGGUAGCUUGCUACCGAUCUUAGCGGCGGACGGGUGAGUAAUGCUUAGGAAUCUGCCUAUUAGUGGGGGACAACAUUCCGAAAGGAAUGCUAAUACCGCAUACGUCCUACGGGAGAAAGCAGGGGAUCUUCGGACCUUGCGCUAAUAGAUGAGCCUAAGUCGGAUUAGCUAGUUGGUGGGGUAAAGGCCUACCAAGGCGACGAUCUGUAGCGGGUCUGAGAGGAUGAUCCGCCACACUGGGACUGAGACACGGCCCAGACUCCUACGGGAGGCAGCAGUGGGGAAUAUUGGACAAUGGGGGGAACCCUGAUCCAGCCAUGCCGCGUGUGUGAAGAAGGCCUUAUGGUUGUAAAGCACUUUAAGCGAGGAGGAGGCUACUGAGACUAAUACUCUUGGAUAGUGGACGUUACUCGCAGAAUAAGCACCGGCUAACUCUGUGCCAGCAGCCGCCGCGGUAA